CUGAGUUCUCCUCUUCCUGGCAUUCCCCUUUCCGUUCCUGUUUGCGUUCAGUCUGAUUAGAGUGGGGCUGGUGGCAUCGGCAUUACGGCAAGUUUGUGGAGGAGUUCGCUUGCAUUAAUGGCGACAAAAGCGUGUGCGUGAGUGCUAACCGGUACAUUGAGUCACGACACUUGUUGGGAGUAACCAUAUAGCUUUGCAUUGGUCUUCGUUCAACCCUAACCGUAAGUGCGUUUUCUUUCUCUUUCCUGCAAAUGGGACUUAUUAGAUUUAGUUUAACACUUUGAUUUUAAUGUUAAAGGUAAAGGGGGGAAUGGAACAUCACAAUCUCUAAGUUGAUCCCUCGUUGAAGGUACUACAUGUGACGUCGUUGCUGUUUUGCUUAUGGGCAUUGUUUUGUUUUGUUGAUUACGGACCUUUGUACGUCAUUGCUUACGGCUUCGCUGUUUGGCGGGUCGUUUGGGCUUUGCUAGGCCAUCCAUCUGUUUUAUUUUGAUUUAGUUUUCCAGUAUAAGUGUCUGUUUUUUUUUUUGUUUUGUUUGCACAUUGCGCUGUGGGUUUCCUCUUUUGUAUUUUGGGUUCCUUUUACAACCGUGUUAAUUACUUUGUUAAUUUGUUAUUUUGUGCUAUUUUGGUUAUUUUGCAGUUUUAUAAUUGUUCAUUUAUAUUUUUGUUAUUUUGUGCCAUGUAUUGUUCUGGGUCAUUGUAGAGAGUUUACAACUUUUUUUCAUUUACUGUCUUGUAAUUCUGGUGCCAUUCAGGCACCAUCUGUUCCCGCUGCAUCUUGUGCCAUUAGGAGGCCGGAGUACUGGAGUCAUUACAUCCAGUGUCUGUAAACUUAGUCUGAUUGUUUUCAUUCUUUAUUAUUCUUUGUACUGUUCUUUUGUAAUUUGCUUCUGAUUUUCUUUCUCCAGGAGCCAAUGUGGACUCUGUGUGGAGCAGGGGAGUCUAGCUGCUUUCCUUCAGUGGGGUGUGCUCCACAGGGUGCCGUGUGUGUGUGGGUACGAUCUCCUUUACAGUGUGGGUGUGAGGGGUUUGAUGUGGUGUGAAUUUUGGUGGGUUCAGACGACCUCCCGAGUUGCAGCCAGCCUGCCCUGUUCCUGCUAAACCUGGCCCUGGAGAAUUAUCUUAAUCUCGUGGUGUGUUUCCCAGGAGAGAGAAUUUUAUUUAUGCUCUUAUAAUAAAGUGUAUUUUUGUACUGAUAAUCCCGUCUCACGACGAUUUUAUUUAUUUGCCUUCAAGUGGUAAAACGUACCUGUGUCCUUAUUGGGAGUAUUUCCCUAGCGCCCCACUAGGGUG